rnacentral:lncRNA from 1 species
UUAGUGUUCACUGUAAAAAAUUUGAAAGUUUACAAUGCCCUAAAACGUGGCAUUUCAUCCACCACCGCUACGUCAACUCCGCCUUUCCACGACUUUGCCAGGCGUCUCAGCUCUGGGACGAUUCACGAUUAGACGACGACACUACACGGCCAGUCUUCUCAAUCUCUGCCAUUCAAUCUUCUCGAUCGCGAGAUCUGUUGCAGGCCAGGCCUUGCAGUUCCGCCCCUGUACAAACCUGUAUUAGCCUUUUAAUUUAUAGUUUCAUCUGUGAAAUGGCGUUGAAAUCCUGGUAGAUGGCUUCAUCUUCUCUAAUCUUUGAAACCGAACCGUGGAAGGAUUUGACGGUAAAUUCAAAAUUUCAACUCUUGGCAUUUUUCGAUUUGAUUUAGCUGUGUCUAUUUAUGUGGUGUACUUGUGCAUUUUCACGCACAUGUUGAGGACAUUAAGAAAACCCAUUUGCGUGAAUUGUUGUCUGAAAUCGAGUGAUGCAAGUCUAUGAUUGUGUAUGAUAUUUGGAAGAUUGAGUUUAAGAUUGGGCUCUAUAUAGUUACAUGUGUUAAUUUUUAUCUUUUCCUUCUGGGUGCAGCGAAUUUGAUAGAAUUUUGUUAGACAUGUAACUAUUGGAAAUCUUUUUGCUUGUUUUGGUUGAUUUAAUUUUUGGGUUUUUGGAUUUUGAGCAUUAUCAUGAUCAUUGAAGUGUGUUUUUCGGGGAUCUGUGAUGGAAAUAGGGGAUUUUAUAUGGAUAGAUUGAAUUAUAACUUCUUGGACGAUAGUACUAGCUGUUUUAUUGUUAUAUUUAUACUUAACCUGAAUAAUUGACGUUUUAUUUCGAUCAUUUCUUAUAUGCAAGAUUAAAUAUGUGAUGGGUGAAUAUGUAAUUAGUGUAUCAAACAUUUAAAGGAUUUCAAUCAACUCCACUAACUGGGAAAUUUAGUUUUUCCUUUUGUCAUAUGGUCAAUACAUAGAGGGGAUAACUUUUUGUGAGAUGUGAUAGACCUUCGAUAACUGUGGACUUGUCGUUCAAUUUUGGCGAAACUAUGCUUAUGUGGUAUUAUAUAUCUUGGUCAGUAUAAUAUUGACACUGAAAAAUUGUCUGGGAAUUCACUUUGUUAGUCAAUAGAGAAAUAGAUUUAGGACCUAAUGAUCUUGUUCCAGCUCUAAAUUGAUCUGAUAUUUGUCGUUUCCUGAAGCUGAAGAUCAUUAGCAAUCUAGUCUCUUUUAAAGCAGUGGAAGAAUAUGCCUCUGACAGGCAAGGAUGACCAAAAACCGGCUCUUGAUGUUGAUGCUUCGAUGUUCAAUAUCGUUACUUCUGUUGGACUUAUUAUUGUAAAUAAAGCUUUGUUGGCUACAUAUGGAUUUACUUCUGGUACGUUAUUUUUGCCUGUUCCGUUCAUGUUUCACUUAAUAUUCCUGGUAGCCUCUUUUUUUUUUUUUUUUUUUUGAACCUACCAAAUGAGCCACGAAUAUAAAUGAAAAUUGUUUGCUUGUUUGUGUUCGGUUAAAAGUUGUAGCUCUGAUCACUAUGGAUGAUUUGAAAAUUUCAAUAAUUAGCACUGCCAAGCCAACUGAAUUUAUGUACAUUUUGCAAAUCAUUGUGUAUGCAUUAUUCUUUAUUUAGUCGAGUGAUCCUUGGGCAGUGAUAAGUCAAAAACUUAAUUGGAAUAUUUGCUGCUUAAUUUUUUGAAGUUUCAAAAGUUAAACUUCCUGUUUAAAUAUGAACUUCCUAACUUGGCCUAUCUUCCUCUUUAAGGGCAAUAUGCUGCUGUGUUUUCAAAAUAGAUUGGUUCGCAAGCAAAUAAAUCUCAUGGCAUUGCAAAAGCUUGCUUAUUAAAAUUGAUUAUUCAUGUUAAAACUUUUCAUGAUGACACUCCGAGAAUAUGAAUUUGAUGUUGAUAGCUUUAUUUCUUUGCUUUGUUAGGAACUGGACUUGAUGUUUGUCACUUGGUAUUUAUUUUAAAAAGGUACACCAUGAUCAGUUACUUUUUCUCUUUAUUUUUUAUUUCAGGACUCCUCAGCCUCACAAACUAAAAUAAAGCUAUGGCAUCCGCGAUCUGGUAUCCACUGACCCUGUUACAAGCUGCAAAACUGGUCCAAUGCUUACUUGCCAACAAGAGAUCACCAUGAUUGUGGGAUGUCUUCAAUAUGGGUCGAUAUUUUGUACUAUUUUAAUAAAUUAUUUUUGGAGUGGUAAUCGAUACUUUUGGUAUAUUGACAUCAACUUUUUGAAUAGGCUAAUGAUGUUCUUAGUAAUCAUUUAGAUUAACCCUACAUUUUUGGUAUAUUGUAUUUGAUUGCACUUAAUACUAUUAUUUAUUGAAAUUAUGGAAAACAUGAUUAUAUUAUAU